GUUGACGGGGACCCGCACAAGCGGUGGAUUAUGUGGAUUAAUUCGAUGCAACGCGAAAAACCUUACCUACCCUUGACAUGUCCUGAAGCCUGGAGAGAUCCGGGUGUGCCCGAAAGGGAACGGGAACACAGGUGCUGCAUGGCUGUCGUCAGCUCGUGUCGUGAGAUGUUGGGUUAAGUCCCGCAACGAGCGCAACCCUUGUCAUUAGUUGCUACAUUUAGUUGGGCACUCUAAUGAGACUGCCGGUGACAAACCGGAGGAAGGUGGGGAUGACGUCAAGUCCUCAUGGCCCUUAUGGGUAGGGCUUCACACGUAAUACAAUGGCGCGUACAGAGGGUUGCCAAGCCGCGAGGUGGAGCCAAUCCCAGAAAGCGCGUCGUAGUCCGGAUUGCAGUCUGCAACUCGACUGCAUGAAGCUGGAGUUGCUAGUAAACGCGCGUCAGCUAUAGUGCGUUGAAUACGUUCUCGGGCCUU
rnacentral:rRNA from 1 species